rnacentral:lncRNA from 1 species
GACAACCAACGUCAUCUCUUUCUCAUCUCGUGAAAUAAACACCACUGCCGGAUUCCAACCUCCUCCGGCGAACAUACGACUUUGUUCCCGUCAGCCAUCGUCUCCUCCUUUCUGCACCGCGCUCUCUUGUUCUCGACAUGGAGAAGAUGGAGCUUGCCUUUCGAUGACAAAAUCAAACUCAGAUUCCGACUACUUUGAUGGCUACCUCCGGCGAAAGCAACUGCAAACCUUCACCUUUUCUUGGUUGCUCCCCGUUCUGGUGAAACAAGAGACUUCUCUUCGUCUCUCAUCCAUGCCUCUUGUCCGUGACACAUCACAACAUCACAGUCAUCUUCACCAUCAAUUAACUCCGGCUGCGUUUAACUCCGCCGAAUCGGACCACCACCAUCACCGCUCAACUCAUGGUACUCUCCAAUCUCUCAUUUUCUCGUUGUUGUGAUGAUUAGAGAGUAUCUCUUCUGAAAUUGUGAGACACUUCAAAUUCAAUUUCAGUCUCCAUUGGUGAGCUCCACCUCUUCUCCGAUGAGGCUUUUCCGGCGAAUCCGGCCAUUGAUCAUCUGCAAAUCUCAGGUUUCUUCCGACGAUCUCCAUCUUCCACUGUCACUUCUAGCACUUUUAUUCCCCAAUUUCUAUUGCCUUUAGGCUGUAGCUGCUCCAUCUCAAUUUCUGGGUUUUGCACGAGAACCCUUAAUCCCUCCUUUUUUUUUUGUUUCUCGCUGAAACUUUCAUGAGCUACUCCACCUGGAACCUAUCACUUUCUAACACGGCUCCAAAAUAUUCCGAGGUAGCUUCUUCCCAGUACUUUUUUCAAAUCUAUCCUGCAAGAUCAAGUCACAAACACUAGGACUGUUUCUCCAAUGAACAACGAAGCCUUUCAUCUGUUAAGAUGAACUCCGCAGCUCCUAACUCGGAUUUCUUGAAUCUUCAUCACAUAAACUCCACAUGGAAUCAGAAUCUGCAGCUCAGGUCAACUGAUUCUCCACAUCUCCACCUGGAAUAUAAGUCUCCUCACCGUAUUUCCAGGCGCCUACAGUGGAGUUACCUGGACGAUGUUGAGGAGAUCAUAACAGGCAUGAAAGUCCUUUCCAGCUCUUGUAUCUGGAAUCGAUCUCUUCUUUGAGAUUUUUAGAAUUGGUAAAAGAACAAGAAAGCUUUAGAUGUGCUGCGUAGAGCUGUAACUAAAGAUGGUGGUCAUUGCUUUGGAUGCUAAAUGAUGUGGAGAAGAAUCAAUUUCCUUCGGAUUGUUCUUGAAAAGGGUUUAGUAGUCUGUUUUUGCGGAUGCUGAUGUGAUGUGGUUCAUGAACUAAUUUGCUUCUCAAUGCUUUCUUAUGAUUUCUUUGUUGAGUUGCAUUUGACUGAGAACUCUCGUGAGAUGCUUCACAUACUUAUAAAGUCUCAGUCUGCUUGGCAUGGAAUGGUAUUGUAUAUCAGAAGACAAUUCAAUAUGGAGAUUGAUGUUGUAGUAAUUGUUGCGUAGGCUUCUUUUUUAUGCUUGUGUCUUUUCUAUAUUGUUGUUACGACGAUGUU